rnacentral:tRNA from 1 species
GGCUGUAGCUUAGUGGUAGAUCAUCUGGUUGGGAUGCAGAAGGUAACAAGUUCAAUCCCUGGCAACGUCA